rnacentral:rRNA from 1 species
GAGGGGUGCAAGCGUUAUUCGGAAUUAUUGGGSGUAAAGGGUGCGUAGACGGUUUAUUAACUCGAUUGUUAAAUUCUCCGGCCUAACUGGAGACCCCCGGUCGAAACUGAUAGACUAGAGGUUGGAAGAGAGAAGUGGAAUUCUCGGAGUAGCGGUAAAAUGCGUAGAUCUCGAGAGGAACACCGAUGGCGAAGGCAGCUUCUUGGUCCAUACCUGACGUUGAUGCACGAAAGCGUGGGGAGCAAACAGGAUUAGAUACCCUGGUAGUCCACGCUGUAAACGAUGAUCACUAGACGUCAGUUCUGCUUGCCGAAAUGGUGKCSUANCUAACGCSUUAAGUGAWCCSCCUGGGGAGUACGGGCGCARGAUUA